rnacentral:rRNA from 1 species
AGAACGAACGCUGGCGGCGUGGAUAAGACAUGCAAGUCGAACGAGACUACUUUGAGUAGCAAUACCUGAAGUAGUUUAGUGGCGAACGGGUGCGUAACACGUGGACAAUCUGCCUUAAAGUGGGGGGAUAGCUCGGCGAAAGCCGAAUUAAUACCGCAUGUGAUCAGAGGAGACAUCUUUUUGAAAUCAAAGUUGGCGCAAGCUAACGCUUUUUGAGGAGUCCGCGGCCUAUCAGCUAGUUGGUGAGGUAACGGCCCACCAAGGCUAUGACGGGUA